rnacentral:tRNA from 1 species
GGAGAGUUGCCGGAGUGGUUAACGGAGCAGUUUGCUAAACUGUCGGCGGGAAACUGCCGCGUGGGUUCGAAUCCCACACUCUCCG